GCAGAAUCUCGCAAAAUAUAACGCUACAACAGAGAUCUGCCGUACAACUUUCGUAGGCACAUUAUCACGGAGAACCAUGGGCAGGCAGAGGAACAGCAAUCGGAGGAGCAGGGACACCAGACACAGGAGCAGGGUCAGCAGACACAGGACCAGGGGCAGCAAUCGGAGGAGGAGGGACACCAGACACAGGGGCCUCUGACUCCAGCAAAGCGAAAACUUCCAUGCAAUACACCUACUUCCUCAAAAGCGAAGAGCAAUUUCAGUUGUGAAAAGUAGGACUUGGAGGAUGCGGAAAUGGAGGCCAUGACCCAAAAAAAGAAAUUACCCACUGAAAUGAAACGGAAAAGCUUUAAUUUUCAACGAAAAAUAUUCAAUAACAGGCUAGCCAAACUGACGAAUGACCAUUUUAAUGAUGAUGUCUGCUUGUUUACAUUCAAUUUAUUUAACGGAAUUUUAGAGGAUCAAGGAAAGAUGUCUUUCUCAUUAUUUUAAUGUUAUGUUAAUAUAUCGU